UGGUCUUGACAUGUAGUGAAUUUUUCAGAGAUGAGAAAGUGCCUUCGGGAACACUAACAC
rnacentral:rRNA from 1 species